rnacentral:lncRNA from 1 species
UUCGUCGGAGUUAGGCAGAGGCCUUCAGGGAGAUGGGUGGCGGAGAUCAAGGAUUCUCUUCAGAAAGUUCGCCUCUGGCUCGGAACAUUCGACACCGCCGAGGACGCUGCCCGCGCCCACGACGACCUGCCCGGGGCUACGACGACGCGGCUCGGGCCUUGCGUGGAGAUAACGCCCGAACCAAUUUCGAAUUGACUCACCCGACCUCCGGAGGCGGCGGCCGGGGAGGACUUUCCGACAACAUCGAGCCUUUCUCGUUUGAGGAGGUUUGUGGGACCGGGAGUGAGGCUGCU